GUCCUAGCUGUAAAUGGUGCACGUUUGCUGUGGGCGGAUUCGACCCCGUCCGUGGCGAAGCUAACGCGUUAAACGUGCCGCCUGGGGGAGUACGGUCGCAAGAUUAAAACUCAAAGAAAUUGACGGGGGCCUGCACAAGCGGUGGAGUAUGUGGCUUAAUUCGAUGCAACGCGAAGAACCUUACCUGGCCUUGACAUGCAAGUAGUAGAAGCCUGAAAGGGUGACGAGGUAGCAAUACCAGCUUGCACAGGUGCUGCAUGGCUGUCGU
rnacentral:rRNA from 1 species